ACUUUAUUUAGCCAUUAAAGUCUUCUUAUAAAUUAUCACUCUAAUUUCGAGUCCCAGUUUUGCGGGACUAAAAAUUUACAUGAUUAUGUACGAAAAAAAACCUUUAAAACUAAAGACUGAUACAAGAAUUUUCUACUUUGUAUGUUGCAAGUGGAUUUAGUUUUUGUUUUGACAUUCGUAUUUAGUUUUUAUUAUAUGAUAUAGGCAAAUAUCAAAAAUAUAAACAUUGUUAUUAAUCAGAACUUGGGGUAGAAUUUCUAUGUGGUUAACAAAAAAUUUUAAAACUGAUAAGCAAAUUUUUAAAAAUUGAAAGCAAUAUUUAGGAAAACACAUAAGUAUAAAGCUAAAAGUGGUACAAAACAGUAGGCUUCUACAUGUAUGUACAUGUAUACAGAAAUUGAUUCAACUUAAGUUUUCAAAGUUCAUAUUUAAGAAGGGAGAUUGUGAAAAUAAUGUUAAUUAUUAAUGUUUAAAAAUUUCUUGUGAUAUUAACAAGAAUAUUGACCAUAACUUUGGUGCAAUUUAUUUAUGAUGUAAAUUGUCUCUGUGUUUUGAAAGUGUGUAUAAAAAUGUGAAAAAAUUGUUUGUUUUGUGUACAAUGAACUGUACAUAGUGUUGAUACCUUUUUUUUUUAAAAAGAAAGACAAUUAGGAUUUUUCUACCCAUGUUACUGCUAUUCCGGUAUAUGUUGUAUGUAAAAUAUCUUUUCACUUUAUCUUUAAAAAAAAAUUGUUUUAUCAGUUGCAUAUAAUAUGAUAGAUCUUUCUUAAUUGUAUCAUAGAAUAGAUUGGUUAUAUGCACUCUGAUCUGAUGGGUACUUUUCCAUCCUCCACACCUAAACACCAAUUUUCAUUGACAUGCAUUUAUCUACAGGGUUUACAGACAUUUAAAUGUACUUGACAUUGAUGCUUUAAUGAAGAUAUCCAAUAGAGUAUUUAUUCUUAAAUUGUAUGAAAAAUAAAUGUUUGGAAAAAUC
rnacentral:misc_RNA from 1 species